AGAGUUUGAUCCUGGCUCAGGAUGAACGUUGGCGGCAUGCCUAACACAUGCAAGUCGAACGCAAGGNUUCGGCCUUGAGUGGCGCACGGGUGCGUAACACGUAGGUGACCUGGCCUGUAGUGGGGGAUAACCCUCGGAAACGAGGGCUAAUACCGCAUAAGCUUCUGCCGUUUUGAAAGGCAGAAGGAAAGCUUUAUGUGCUACAGGGGGGGCCUGCGGCCUAUCAGGUAGUUGGUGGGGUAACGGCCUACCAAGCCGACGACGGGUAGCUGACCUGAGAGGGUGGUCAGCCACAGGGGAACUGAGAUACGGUCCCCACUCCUACGGGAGGCAGCAGUGAGGAAUAUUGGUCAAUGGGGGCAACCCUGAACCAGCAAUGCCGCGUGCGGGAGGACGGCCUUCGGGUUGUAAACCGCUUUUAUGAGGGAGGAGCAAGGACCGUACCUCAUGAACAAGUCACGGCUAACUACGUGCCAGCAGCCGCGGUAAUACGUAGGUGGCGAACGUUAUCCGGAAUUACUGGGCGUAAAGGGUCCGCAGGCGGGUGUUUAAGUCUGACGUGAAAGCUCCCGGCUCAACUGGGAGAGGACGUUGGAAACUGGACGCCUUGAAUCUGACAGAGGUCGGUGGAAUUCCCGGUGUAGUGGUGGAAUGCGUAGAGAUCGGGAGGAACCUCGAAAGCGAAGGCAACCGGCUAGGUCGAGAUUGACGCUGAGGGACGAGAGCGUGGGGAGCGAACAGGAUUAGAUACCCCAGUAGUCC
rnacentral:rRNA from 1 species